CGUCAUCAACGGAAACGGAUGCAGAUGGAUUGCUCAGCAGCUAACAUGUGAGUUGGAUAAAUGAAUUUCAUCGGAUCACAACCCUUCCUUUACACUCCAAAAUUCAUGUCCAAACUGGAUCUGUUCUCUGAUGAUCUGCUAAAAGUGUUUACCAAAAAGGGUGGAGUGUUUAGAAAAAAGAUUCAAGAUGUGAUGCUGCCAAUGUCUCAGACCAAGCAAGAGUGCAUUCUCAAGGGGCUAUGCAUCUACCUGAAUGAAGAUGAAUAUGAUGGAGUAUUUGGAUGAUGACCCUGCAAGAACCGAAGCGGACAUAAAGAAGACCUUUUAGGGAUUCUGUGAUGUAAAGCAUGAAUUUGCUGAUGCAACAGAAGACCCCGAAGAUAUCUGCAUUGUGCUGGAAGAUGUGGAGGUGCUUUCUGGUUUAGGUAAUGUAGCAUUGGCUACAGCCAUGCUACUUGGACUAAUAUACUCUUUAAAUCUUACUCAUCCACAGGAGAUCCACUACACUUUUAAGGUGCUCCAAAAAAUGAUUCUCGAGCUGAACUUGUGUAAAUUGUCUGCCAAAGCACAGGCGCAGAAAACAAAGCUCUUCACUUAGGUGUGCUGUGU